rnacentral:rRNA from 1 species
GAUGAACGCUGGCGGCGUGCCUAAUACAUGCAAGUCGAGCGAACGGACGAGAAGCUUGCUUCUCUGAUGUUAGCGGCGGACGGGUGAGUAACACGUGGAUAACCUACCUAUAAGGCUGGGAUAACUUCGGGAAACCGUAGCUAAUACCGGAUAAUAUUUUGAACCGCAUGGUUCAAAAGUGAAAGACGGUCUUGCUGUCACUUAUCGAUGGAUCCGCGCUGCAUUAGCUAGUUGGUAAGGUAACGGCUUACCAAGGCAACUAUGCAUAGCCGACCUGAGAGGGUGAACGGCCACACUGGAACUGAGACACGGUCCAGACUCCUACGGGAGGCAGCAGUAGGGAAUCUUCCGCAAUGGGCGAAAGCCUGACGGAGCAACGCCGCGUGAGUGAUGAAGGUCUUCGGAUCGUAAAACUCUGUUAUUAGGGAAGAACAUAUGUGUAAGUAACUGUGCACAUCUUGACGGUACCUAAUCAGAAAGCCACGGCUAACUACGUG